CCCAGACCAGCCCUCUAAUGACUCACAGCGACUGCAGGCUCGGCAGCUCCCACAGCGCCUCUGCGGGGAUUCCUCCCAGCUGAUUGUUCUGCAGCAUCCUACGGGAGAAGAGAAAGGGCUUUAAGGACGCACAUGCUCUGAAAAGCAAGCAAUGGAAGGAAAUACGAGGGAAAUUGACAUCAGACAUCAGAAAGUAAUUCGUGCCUAGGAUGCAGGUGGAAUCUUCUGCUUUGAAGCAUACCCUGUGGCAACGCGACCUCCCUGGGAACCUCUCCUAUCUACCUUCAGUCCCUAUGCAUCCGCUUCCUCCCAAUUCCUCUUGCCCUCACUCAUCAUAAGCAUAUGAGGAGGCUUUGGGAGGACAGUCUUAGUUGGAACAAGGAUUUUCAGGCUGUAGAGACCAGAGAAUGCUUGUCCUGGGAUGUGUGAGAGAUGGUUCCCAGAGAGACGCCUGGAAAUCAGAGACAAGGGUCAGCGAUGUUGGCAGAUGAGGAAACUGAGGCUAGGAGAAGUCAACCACGUCCCCUAGGGGUCACAGAACCAGUCCAUGGCAGAGCCUGGUGUUCUCACCCAGACCUGACUAAUUUGAAGGCUCACGGCCACAGUUUCCCCACAUCCUCUCCUGUGCUAACCUGGAUUACCCACCGCCUGCUCUCAACUGCUGGACUGCAUCAUAUGGUGUCAUCAGUAGAGGGAGGAGUACCAGGGGGUGUGUCUGUGUCUCUCCAGGCCCUAAACUACACAGCUAACCCUCACUAAUCCAAGAGGGUUAAGGAAAUGGGGUGGUGUAAUUCAUCUAACAUUCUGGUCUAAUUAAGCGUUUCCAUGUUUAUCGGGGCAAUCACCAAUUCUAAAAGGAGCAAAUGCAACGAAAUACACUCAAUGCUGAAACCUGACUGAGCAGAAUUUAAUGGUGGAUGAUUCAGAAGUCACUGCCUGAUCUCCAAAGUCCCCAGGGACAUUAUUUUGUGCAUCAGUUCCUACCAAGAGGCUUGUAGAUGUGGAGAUUGUGCUGGCAUACCUCAGACACUAUUUUUAAAACAUAUAUCUCUAAUAAAAGUCCCUUUAUUUGAC
rnacentral:lncRNA from 10 species